GCAUUCGAGACCCAACGGCACGUGA
rnacentral:ncRNA from 2 species